rnacentral:rRNA from 1 species
GAUGAACGCUGGCGGCGGGCCUAACACAUGCAAGUCGAACGAGUGGCGGACGGGUGAGUACUGUCUGGGAAACUGCCCGAUGGAUAGGGAUCACUGCUGGAAAAGGUAGCUAAUACCGCAUACCAUCGGAUGUGCGCAGAUGGGAUUAGCUUGUAGGUGAGGUAACGGCUCACCUAGGCGACGAUCCCUAGCUGGUCUGAGAGGAUGACCAGCCACACUGGAACUGAGACACGGUCCAGACUCCUACGGGAGGCAGCAGUGGGGAAUAUUGCGCAAUGGGCGCAAGUCUGAUGCAGCCAUGCCGCGUGUAUGAAGAAGGUCUUCGGGUUGUAAAGUACUGUCAGCGGGGAGGCGUUACCCGCAGAAGAAGCACCGGCUAACUCCGUGCCAGCAGCCGCGGUAAUUC